GACGAACGCUGGCGGCGUGCUUAACACAUGCCAGUCGAACGGAAAGGCCCUGCUUUUGUGGGGUGCUCGAGUGGCGAACGGGUGAGUAACACGUGAGUAACCUGCCCUUGACUUUGGGAUAACUUCAGGAAACUGGGGCUAAUACCGGAUAGGAGCUCCUGCUGCAUGGUGGGGGUUGGAAAGUUUCGGCGGUUGGGGAUGGACUCGCGGCUUAUCAGCUUGUUGGUGGGGUAGUGGCUUACCAAGGCUUUGACGGGUAGCCGGCCUGAGAGGGUGACCGGCCACAUUGGGACUGGGAUACGGCCCAGACUCCUACGGGAGGCAGCGGUGGGGAAUAUUGCACAAUGGGCGGAAGCCUGAUGCAGCAACGCCGCGUGCGGGAUGACGGCCUUCGGGUUGUAAACCGCUUUCGCCUGUGACGAAGCGUGAGUGACGGUAAUGGGUAAAGAAGCACCGGCUAACUACGU
rnacentral:rRNA from 1 species